rnacentral:rRNA from 1 species
AUUGAACGCUGGCGGCAGGCUUAACACAUGCAAGUCGAGCGGGGUGAUGGUGCUUGCACUAUCACUUAGCGGCGGACGGGUGAGUAAUGCUUAGGAAUCUGCCUAUUAGUGGGGGACAACAUCUCGAAAGGGAUGCUAAUACCGCAUACGUCCUACGGGAGAAAGCAGGGGAUCACUUGUGACCUUGCGCUAAUAGAUGAGCCUAAGUCGGAUUAGCUAGUUGGUGGGGUAAAGGCCUACCAAGGCGACGAUCUGUAGCGGGUCCGAGAGGAUGAGCCGCCACACUGGGACUGAGACACGGCCCAGACUCCUACGGGAGGCAGCGGUGGGGAAUAUUGGACAAUGGGGGGAACCCUGAUCCAGCCAUGCCGCGUGUGUGAAGAAGGCCUUAUGGUUGUAAAGCACUUUAAGCGAGGAGGAGGCUCUUUUGGUUAAUACCCAAGAUGAGUGGACGUUACUCGCAGAAUAAGCACCGGCUAACUCUGUGCCAGCCGCCGCCGUAA